UGCAAAAGCAGAGUUGCAAAGAGGAGGAAUGCGAAGGGAAGAGAUGGACGGGACGGAGAGUGCAAAGAGGCAAGAUGGAAAAGAGAAGAGAUGAGAAGGGCAAAGCACACUCCGGGGUGAGGGUAGCUACUGCCGGGCACCCCCCAGCCCCAGGGUGGGCACUGGUGGCACCCAGGGCUGUGAGAGGUCAAGGGGUGGCUCGUAGGGUGACGGCAGUACAAGGGUCCCAGGGGAGCAGUGCGGUGCCCACAGCUCUUGCUGGGAACGAAGAGCCUGGGAAAACGAAGAUACAUGUGUGUGUUGGGAAGCUUGUAACCCUCAUCACCCACUUCUCCCGUUUGAAAUGAGGAUGGAUAAAACUUGCAAGCGGAGGAGAGCAGCUCUUCCCAGCAGCCUGCAACUGUUUCUCGAAAUGUAUCUGGUGAGCAAGAGUGGGUUUGUAGGCAUUUUGAAGAUACAGCAGGCGUCCAUGGAACUGACUUCAGAGCUGAAUGAGCUGCAAGGAGGUCUUGGCCAUAACUCUGGAGCAGAUGCUAUAGAAGCACCAUCAGUUUUCUUCUCUCUUCCUUCAUCUCUGCGGUAGUGAAAAGUAGUGGGAGCAUCUGAAUCCAUUCUGGGAGUCCUUUCUCUUCCAGCCUUGAACAACAAGGAAUUACUGAGACAAAAUAAAGAUUUAAAACCCCUCCCUGGAGACCCCAUCCUUCAGAACUGUAUUUGCUGUUUCUCAGCAGGGAUCCACCAGCUGAUCUGAGAUGUUCUCUAGUGCAGCAUAAAUACUUCAGUGCUGUGAACUCAGCGUGGGCCUGAUGAGUGCUGUAGCCAAAACCAGCUAAUCAGAGGAGCACCAAUAGAGCCAAUUACUGCUCAGGCUGCGCUUUCAGCCACUCAUGCAUGUGCCACAGUUAUUCAUUCACUUCCUCAGUUUAGAUAGCCUUGUAGACUUUGAGACAGGCCUGUGGCUUUCCCAGGCAGGAGCUCUUCUUUCUCUUCCACUCAUCUUUACAGAUAUUUAAACCAAAGGUUUCUCCCUCCAGGCCAUGUCAUUUCUUUGCUGUUUCUGUGGUGAUACAGGUGAUUUAAGCCUUUUAAUAAAACAUAGCUCUGUUCUGCCUCUCUCUUUGCCUUUAAAGCAUUGACAGAGUUGAGCAUUAGUUCAGGUAUUAAACGAGAGCACUGUGCUCUGGCUGGCUGCCUUUCUAAUGCAUGUAGGUGAUCUGAAACCUCGGCCCAGCUGUCUUUUAUAUAUAUCCACAGUGAUUCCUUUGUAGUCCAGGGUACAAAAUAUCAAACCCAGAUUUCUUUCUCACUGCUGUUUAAACUGGGCGACCUACAAAUAUGAAUAUUCGGCUGUGUUAGUGUCCCCAUAGGAAGAGAUGUUUUCAUUAGCUCCUUCUGUCUGUGCUUCUCUAAUGUGAGUCUCUCUUCUCAUGGCUUGACAUUUGGUCCAUCAUAUUUAACUAUUUUUGUAUUAAUAUCUGGGCUGGGUGAUUCCUAUUUUAAAACAAUCAUAUUCCCUGGCCAAAGUUCCCUGUAGUUCUGCAUGGUUCGUUCUUUUGAAGAGUACUUAUGACUAUGAAGAAACAGGAUCUGUCUUUGGGGAUCAGCCGGGAGUACACUGCUGUCUCAAAGAGUUUGCAAAGAUUUACUGGAUGAAUAGCAGUAAAAAGACUUUCUGUAAUAUCAUUUAGAAUCUGAAUGGAAAAGUAAGUAGAAAGAUCAAAGAGUUAGUAUGGAUGGAGAUCUUUUCCUACACCUUCAUUGCAUCUUUCUGCCCUUUCUUGGUCCCUUCAGCCUUUACCCAUCCCCACUGUCCAUCUUCCCCAUCCUGCCCUCACUGUGCCCACAGGGCCCUGCUCACAUCCGCCUCUGCCCUGUUCUCUGACAAAUCUCAUCCAUGUAAAUGCAGUUUUAUUUGGAUAUGGAUGUAUGUCCUGUUAACUGUGUCCUCCUACCAAAACUCCUGUCUCAGCCUGGCUCCCUGACACCUGAGGACAUCUGACCCUCGUCUCAGACCCGUCUUGGCUGAAGGGGCAAUGUUACUCUCACUCCAAAUGACCCUUUUCCCUUUCUCAAUCACUGGUACUAUCACCUCCUCUUAUCCAUCACUUGGACUUAUAACCUGGAUGUCAUCCUCACCAUAGACUUUCCUCUGUGUAGACACUUCCCAUGUAGCUACUCCCAGAUGUGCCUUUCCUACCAUUCACACAAUGAAGAUGCUGUGCAGGCUCUUCUCUCUCAUGUCUUGAGUCCUACAGCAUCUUUUCCUGGGCAAACCCAGCCUCAGCCCACCACUGUAUACUCAACUUGUUGCUACACACUGUUUCAUCACUGCUGAUCACAUUCACCACCCAUCUUUUCCCUGUGGCUACCCACACUCACCCCUUGCUUCAUGCCAGGAUCUUGCAGCAGAGCUCUGAGGAAAGGACCUCCUUGGCUCUGCAUUUCUGCAGCAUCUGGUUCUUGAGCCAUGACUGCAGGUCCAAGAACAAGAAUAGCAACAAACGUGCAAGCUGAUUCCAGCCCAAGUCAGCAGAGGCCAGAAGCUGCUGUGCUCAGAAGUCUGUUCAUAAAUCAAUGUGAAAUGUGCUGUCUGAGCAUAGCUCCCACUAGACAAACAUCUGCAUAACACAUACCACUGACACAACUGGCGAUGGGAAAAAUAGCUAAACACAUCAUUCCCACAGCUGUGGAGGAAUGAAUAAAGAUAUCUAAUUCCCUUGUCCGUGGGGUAAACUCUGGUCCAGGUAAAGGCACUUCUUAUAAAUAUGAGGUUUUAAAGGCAGAGGGAUCAGUAGGAAAGUUUAAUCUGACUACACUGCCUAGAAAAUUUCACCCAGGGACUUCAAGAUCAUAACUGAAUUUAGAAGAAGAAAGAGAAAGAAAGACAUCCAACUCUCACUUUAAAAUCUCAGAUGGGGGAGAAGCAAGUUCAUCCUUUGGUGAGCUGUUUCAAUGCUAAAAUCUGAUGUUUUUUCCCAUUCUGGAUUUGCCUGGCUUCAGCUGCCAGCCAUAGGAUCACUUUGGGCUGUAGACUGCUAUGUGAAGAAUAAAAUAACCCUCUUAUUAGAAAUUCUCACCCAGUUUUGGCAUUUAUAAUCCAGCAACCAAGCACUCCCUUGAAUAAAUUGAAUACAUUUUCUCUUGGUGGCAAGAUGACCACACUAUCACUCACUGCUGUAGCUUGGUUGCUCCAGAUUUUCAACAUCCUUUUCUCCUGCAGAGAUGAGCUCCAGAUUGCUUAGCCUGGUCUUCAAAAAGCCAUGAAGAGGGCAGCACCACCACUUCUAUUUGGUUUUCUGCUCCUUUAGCCAAGAACCACAUUUAUUCUGGUGGCCAGCAUCAUUACAUAAGUAUGCAGCUGUUUUCACUGGUCACUUCUGAAGAUGAAUUGUAUUGGCAAAGUACACUUCGAUCAUAGCUCAGUCAAGUGAAGGCAAUUCUGGCCUAGUUUUGGGCCACAACUAUCAUCUCUCCAGCACCCAUACACUCACACUGGGUCUCUCCAGCUUCAGGAUCACAAGAGAGCAAUGAUGACAGGGAUGUUGUACGUGUCCAAGUCCUAAUGCAGCAGUGAUACUGUAGGAUUUUGGCUUCUUGUCUAGAAAUAAAAAGAUGGAUAUGUGAAAUGUCUUGUCUUUGCUU